AGAUGUGAGGGUGAUCUGGCUGUAACUUCUGUCACCCCACAGAUCACCAGGGUUGAUUCAGCUGAUCUGGCUGGCUAGGCUGGUGUACCCUUUCUCCCUCACUGCUCCAUGUGUGUCCCUCCCAAAGCUGUGCUAGGUUGAAGAGGACUGCCUUCCCUGAAUGGAGACUGACUGGGUCUUUGGACAAGGGAAUACAGAGUAGCUGCACUCCCCUGCUAGAACCUCCAAACAAGCUCUCAAAGGCACAUAUAAUUCUCUCAAACUCCAUCAGAAAGAUAAAUAUGGGAUAAUCU
ensembl:misc_RNA 7SK 7SK RNA